AGAGUUUGAUCCUGGCUCAGAUUGAACGCUGGCGGCAUGCCUAACACAUGCAAGUCGAACGGAAACGAUGCUAGCUUGCUAGCAGGCGUCGAGUGGCGGACGGGUGAGUAACGCAUAGGAAUCUACCUAGUAGCGGGGGACAACCUGGUGAAAACCAGGCUAAUACCGCAUAAUCCCUACGGGGCAAAGCAGGGGACCUUCGGGCCUUGCACUAUUAGAUGAGCCUAUGUCGGAUUAGCUAGUUGGUGAGGUAAUGGCUCACCAAGGCAACGAUCCGUAGCUGGUUUGAGAGGAUGAUCAGCCACACUGGGACUGAGACACGGCCCAGACUCCUACGGGAGGCAGCAGUGGGGAAUAUUGCACAAUGGACGCAAGUCUGAUGCAGCAAUGCCGCGUGUGUGAAGAAGGCCUUAGGGUUGUAAAGCACUUUCAGUAGGGAGGAAAAGUUCAAGGUUAAUAACCUUGGGCCCUGACGUUACCUACAGAAGAAGCACCGCUAACU
rnacentral:rRNA from 1 species